rnacentral:piRNA from 1 species
UCUUACAGAAGGAGGGUGUCUCUAAAAUA